rnacentral:rRNA from 1 species
UACGGGAGGCAGCAGUGAGGAAUAUUGGACAAUGGGCGCAAGCCUGAUCCAGCCAUGCCGCGUGCAGGAUGACGGUCCUAUGGAUUGUAAACUGCUUUUAUACAGGAAGAAACAGUUCUACGUGUAGAACCUUGACGGUACUGUAAGAAUAAGGAUCGGCUAACUCCGUG